GACGAACGCUGGCGGCGUGCUUAACGCAUGCCAGUCGAACGAUGAAGAAGAGAAACGCGAACUUCGGUUCAACUUUCACUUCGGAUUAGUGGCAGACGGGUGAGUAACGCGUGAGCAACCUACCUCUUACAAAGGGAUAGCCUCGGGAAACCGUGAUUAAUACCAUAUGACACAUUCAUAAGGCAUCUUAAGAAUGUUAAAGCUACGGCGGUAAGAGAUGGGCUCGCGUCCCAUUAGCUAGUUGGUGAGGUAACGGCCCACCAAGGCGACGAUGGGUAACCGGCCUGAGAGGGUGAACGGUCACAUUGGAACUGAGACACGGUCCAAACUCCUACGGGAGGCAGCAGUGGGGAAUAUUGCACAAUGGAGGGAACUCUGAUGCAGCGACGCCGCGUGAGCGAUGAAGGAAUUCGUUUCGUAAAGCUCUGUUCUAUGGGAAGAAAAGGACUGUACCAUAGGAGAAAGCCCCGGCUAAAUACGUG
rnacentral:rRNA from 1 species